UUAGGAUGCGCCAGUUUUAUAUUUAUAAACAACAAGUUGAUUUUACAAACAUGUCGCUUAGAGAUUACUUGUGGUUUAUAAAUAUAAAACUGGCGCAUCCUAAGUAAAAGUAAAUAACUA